rnacentral:rRNA from 1 species
AACGUAGGACGCAAGCGUUAUCCGGAGUUACUGGGCGUAAAGAGCGCGCAGGCGGUCGUUCAAGUCGCGUGUGAAAGCCCCCGGCUCAACUGGGGAGGGUCACGCGAUACUGAUCGACUCGAAGGCAGGAGAGGGUAGUGGAAUUCCCGGUGUAGUGGUGAAAUGCGUAGAUAUCGGGAGGAACACCAGUGGCGAAGGCGACUACCUGGCCUGUUCUUGACGCUGAGGCGCGAAAGCUAGGGGAGCAAACGGG